rnacentral:rRNA from 1 species
GGCAGCCGCGGUAAUUCCAGCUCCAAUAGCGUAUAUUAAAGUUGUUGCAGUUAAAAGCUCGUAGUUGAAUUUCGGGGUCAGUAAGUUGGUCGUGCCACUGGUAUGUACUGGCUUUACUGAUUCCUCCUUCUUGUAGAACUGUGAUGUCAUUAAUUUGGUGUUGCAGGGAAACAGGACUGUUACUUUGAAAAAUUAGAGUGUUUAAAGCAGGCUAACGCUUGAAUACAUUAGCAUGGAAUAAUGAAAUAGGACGUUUCGAUUCUAUUUUGUUGGUUUCUAGGAUUGACGUAAUGAUUAAUAGGGAUAGUUGGGGGCAUUAGUAUUCAAUUGUCAGAGGUGAAAUUCUUGGAUUUAUUGAAGACUAACUACUGCGAAAGCAUUUGCCAAGGAUGUUUUCAUUAAUCAAGAACGAAAGUUAGGGAUUGAAGACG